GCUUCUGCUGCGCCAGAUUGCGCAUUAACGUAUCGGCCUGGCUGCGUUGUCCGGCCUGCCAGAGAUCCUGCGAAAGUCGGUAAGUAAUCCAUACACUGCCGGGGUCCAGCGCCAGUCGUUGCCGCUGAAGUGCUGCCGCCUGCGCCCAUUUGCCCUGGUUUUCCAGUGCCUCUGCCUGCUGUGCCAGACGGUCGUUUUGCAGGCUGCGUUCUUCAUCGAUGCCGAAUACGUAAC
rnacentral:misc_RNA from 1 species